rfam:Triticum aestivum genome assembly, contig: Triticum_aestivum_CS42_TGACv1_scaffold_433283_5DL
GUGGUACUCCCUCCAUACCAAAAUUCUUGUCUUAAAUUUGUCUAAAUACGGAUGUAUCAAGUCAUGUUUUGGUAUUAGAUAUACAACCCUAAUCUAAGACAAGAAUUUUGGGACGGAGGGAGGAGUUU